rnacentral:rRNA from 1 species
GAUGAACGCUGACAGAAUGCUUAACACAUGCAAGUCGACUCGAGUCUUCGGACUUGGGUGGCGCACGGGUGAGUAACGCGUAAAGAACUUGCCUCUUAGACCGGGACAACAUCUGGAAACGGAUGCUAAUACCGGAUAUUAUGGUUUUUUCGCAUGGAGGAAUCAUGAAAGCUAGAUGCGCUAAGAGAGAGCUUUGCGUCCCAUUAGCUAGUUGGUGAGGUAACGGCCCACCAAGGCAAUGAUGGGUAGCCGGCCUGAGAGGGUGAACGGCCACAAGGGGACUGAGACACGGCCCUUACUCCUACGGGAGGCAGCAGUGGGGAAUAUUGGACAAUGGACCACAAGUCUGAUCCAGCAAUUCUGUGUGCACGAUGACGUUUUUCGGAAUGUAAAGUGCUUUCAGUCGGGAAGAAGUCAGUGACGGUACCGACAGAAGAAGCGACGGCUAAAUACGUGCCAGCAGCCGCGGUAAUACGUAUGUCGCAAGCGUUGUCCGGAUUUAUUGGGCGUAAAGCGCGUCUAGGCGGCAAGGAAAGUCUGAUGUGAAAAUGCGGAGCUCAACUCCGUAUGGCGUUGGAAACUGCCUUACUAGAGUACUGGAGAGGUAGGCGGAACUACAAGUGUAGAGGUGAAAUUCGUAGAUAUUUGUAGGAAUGCCGAUGGGGAAGCCAGCCUACUGGACAGAUACUGACGCUAAAGCGCGAAAGCGUGGGUAGCAAACAGG